rnacentral:snRNA from 1 species
ACUCAUACCUUGUAGUGGAAAUACCAUGAUUAUAAAAGUGGUUUUUCCAGGGUGAGGCUCAUCCAUUGCACUUUAGGUAUGCUGCUGAUUCCUGUGAUUUCCCCAAAUGUGGGGAACUCAAAUGCAUAGUUUGUGUUAAUGGGGGAUUGCACUUUGAUUUCCCUGG